rnacentral:rRNA from 1 species
AUACGUAGGGGGCGAGCGUUGUCCGGAAUGAUUGGGCGUAAAGGGCGCGUAGGCGGCGCGGUAAGUCUGGAGUGAAAGUCCUGCUUUCAAGAUGGGACUUGCUUUGGAUACUGGCGGGUUUGAGUGCUGGGGAGGGGAUUGGGAAUUCCCGUGGUGGGGUGAAACGCGUAGAGAUCGGGAGGAACAACAGUGGCGAAGGCGGGUAACUGGACUGCAACUGACGCUGAGGCGCGAAAGUGUGGGGAGCAAACAGGAUUAGAUACCCUGGUAGUCCACACUGUAAACGAUGAAUGCUAGGUGUAAGAGGUAUCGACCCCUUUUGUGCCGGAGUCAACACAAUAAGCAUUCCGCCUGGGGAGUACGGCCGCAAGGUUGAAACUCAAAGGAAUUGACGGGG